rnacentral:rRNA from 1 species
CCUACGGGGGGCAGCAGUGGGGAAUAUUGCACAAUGGGCGCAAGCCUGAUGCAGCGACGCCGCGUGGGGGAUGACGGCCUUCGGGUUGUAAACUCCUUUCGCCAGGGACGAAGCGUAAGUGACGGUACCUGGAUAAGAAGCACCGGCUAACUACGUGCCAGCAGCCGCGGUAAUACGUAGGGUGCGAGCGUUGUCCGGAAUUACUGGGCGUAAAGAGCUCGUAGGUGGUUUGUCGCGUCGUUUGUGUAAGUCCACGGCUUAACUGUGGGACUGCAGGCGAUACGGGCAUAACUUGAGUGCUGUAGGGGAGACUGGAAUUCCUGGUGUAGCGGUGAAAUGCGCAGAUAUCAGGAGGAACACCGAUGGCGAAGGCAGGUCUCUGGGCAGUAACUGACGCUGAGGAGCGAAAGCAUGGGUAGCGAACAGGAUUAG